CUGGAUCAGCACCCAUUGGAGGACACAGGCAGACCCUCCACUGUGUUGAGUCUAAGUCUUGAACCAUCAGAUGUCUUUUGUGAAUUCGUGGUGAAGACGCGGAAAGGAAACCCCUUUUUAUAGUUUUAGGAAGCGAGUGGCCCCCAACGAAACCCCAACUGUUUAUUCAUAAACUUCUCACUGUAUACAAACCUGAGAAUGAACAGUUUAACCACAGUGAUCGCAGAAAUGCUGUUUAAAAGAGUCUCCUGAUGGAAGCGAAUCGAAGGUCAAGAGCAAGACCUACCAGUAAGCGGAUCCCUGGCCGUUCCCUCCCCGCGGGGACUGGGACAGUUUCUGUGGAAGUGGGCGGGGGUCCACGGUCCUCACAGCCCUGAGAAAGCACCUUCUUUUCUGCUCCUCCGAGGGGAUACCCCAGUGUCCUCGACCCCAAACUCGUGACCCCCUCAGUCCGGGAAAGACCCCUUCCCUCAGCCCCAACACCAGACCUCUCACCUCACCUGAUCCCCCCCAGUCACUUCUGCCGGGACCGGAUCAUCUGGGCCGUGUCCCCACAGCUGUCCCCAAGUCCUCCCGCCUCAUCUCCGGAGACCAGGGAGCAGCAGACGGUUCCAACGGACUUUCUGUCUUAAAGGGGCAUGAGCGUCUCACUCAGCAUCACCACUGGACCAGCUGAGACAAUAAUUAAACAUCCCAAACCUGCAAUUCGAACAAAGAAGCUCGUCAGUGGAGUCCAUCCAUCCACAAAGGACAUUGGAAAGAGUCAAACUGCUCCUUCUCAUUGACAAAAGCCAUGUGUUUAAUAUCAGGUCUUCAAUAUGCAACGUGUAGUAAGAGCUCAUUUCUCUGAGCAUACAUUCUUCAGAAAUAUAAACUUUGUUUGGAUGUCAAAUUAUUUACUAGAAAAAACAUUUUUAUGAAGGGAAAAUAAUAUACGUGAGUCUAAAUAGGAGACAGGAUUCAAAUUUUCAUCAUUUCACAAAAUGCAUCUCCAUCUGAAUUGUCGUGUGAUUUUUGUGAUAGAGAAGAUAGUGAGGAGCAAGCGACAGUCCACGUUCCUGUUAAGCCCUGGCCGUCCUUCUCAUCCACGUGCUGCCUGUGGAAAACACGCCUGGGGCUCCCCUGAGGCUGCUCGUGCUGCGUGUCACCCGGAUAGUUCUGCAAGCCACUGGCGUGCAAUAGGCAGUAAACACCGACAUCGUGAAUGAAUGAAGAAACUACCACAAAGAGGAAACA